CCUGCCCAUAAGUGGGGAAUAACAGUUGGAAACGACUGCUAAUACCGCAUAAGCUGAGCAAUCAGUAAAGGAGGCUUAACAGCUUCCGCUUAUGGAUGGGCCCGCGUCUGAUUAGCUAGUUGGUGGGAUAAAAGCCUACCAAGGCCACGAUCAGUAGCCGGCCUGAGAGGGUGGACGGCCACACUGGGACUGAGACACGGCCCAGACUCCUACGGGAGGCAGCAGUGGGGAAUAUUGCACAAUGGAGGGAACUCUGAUGCAGCAACGCCGCGUGAAGGAUGAAGGUUUUCGGAUCGUAAACUUCUAUCAGUAGGGAUGAAAACAAUGACAGUACCUAACUAAGAAGCCCCGGCUAACUACGUGCCAGCAGCCGCGGUAAUACGUAGGGGGCAAGCGUUAUCCGGAUUUACUGGGUGUAAAGGGUGCGUAGGUGGCAUGGUAAGUUAGAUGUGAAAGCCCAAGGCUUAACUUUGGGAUUGCAUCUAAAACUACUAAGCUAGAGUGCAAGAGAGGAAAGUAGAAUUCCUAGUGUAGCGGUGAAAUGCGUAAAUAUUAGGAAGAAUACCAGUAGCGAAGGCGGCUUUCUG
rnacentral:rRNA from 1 species